rnacentral:rRNA from 1 species
GAAGGCUGUUUUACAUUUGAGUACCGGCAAUCAGCCUUUGAUUACCUCAGGAAGUCGUAACAAGGUAACCAGUAUUGGAUCCUCUAGAGUUUGAUCCUGGCUCACCAAAUGCUAGCAAAGACUACCGGAUACGGUCCCUUAUACCUUAUAUCUGCUUCCUUCGCCUGAAGGAAACUGGAAAGACGGAGCAAUCUGUCACUUGAGGAUGGGCCUGCGGCGCAUUAGCUAGUUGGUGAGGUAACGGCUCACCAAGGCGACGAUGCGUAGCCGACCUGAGAGGGUGAUCGGCCACACUGGACUGAGACACGGCCCAAACUCCUACUGGAGGCAGCAGUAGGGAAUCUUCCGCAAUGGGCGAAAGCCUGACGGACAAUGCCGCGUGAGUGAUGAAGUUUUCGGAUCGUAAAGGUCUGUUGCCAGGGAAGAACGGCAGAAGAGUAAUGCUCCUGUGUGGACGGUAGCUGAAUGAAGGGCCGGGAAUAGUUCCUUCGCCGCCCUCCCGGGAAAACUCAGACCGGUCGGCCAUGGUUGUCGUCACCCCCUGUCUCGAGAUGUUGGGUUAAGUCCCGCAACGAGCGCAACCCUUGAUUCUAGUUCCCAGCACUUCGGGUGGGCACUCUAAGGUGACUGCCGGUGACAAACCGGAGGAAGGUGGGGAUGACGUCAAAUCAUCAUGCCCCUUAUGACCUGGGCUACACACGUACUACAAUGGCCGGUACAACGGGCAGUGAAGCCGCGAGGUGGAACCAAUCCUAAAAAGCCGGUCUCAGUUCGGAUUGUAGGCUGCAACUCGCCUACAUGAAGUCGGAAUUACUAGUAAUGGCGAUCAGCAUUUGCGUGAAACGUAAGGUAACAAGAACAGUAGGAUCUUAGAGGGUCUGGCCGUAGCUAACAUAGUACACUCUUAGAUGAGCAG